rnacentral:rRNA from 1 species
CAGCCGCCACGGGAAUACGUAGGGUGCAAGCGUUAAUCGGAAUUACUGGGCGUAAAGCGUGCGCAGGCGGUUCGGAAAGAAAGAUGUGAAAUCCCAGAGCUUAACUUUGGAACUGCAUUUUUAACUACCGGGCUAGAGUGUGUCAGAGGGGGGUGGAAUUCCACGUGUAGCAGUGAAAUGCGUAGAUAUGUGGAGGAACACCGAUGGCGAAGGCAGCCCCCUGGGAUAACACUGACGCUCAUGCACGAAAGCGUGGGGAGCAAACAGGAUUAGAUACCCGGGUAGUCCCUGUCUCUUAUAC